rnacentral:rRNA from 1 species
AGCGAACGCUGGCGGCAGGCCUAACACAUGCAAGUCGAAGGUGAUUCCAGGCUUCGGCCUGGUUGAAACUGGCGCACGGGUGAGUAACGCGUGGGAACCUACCUCAAGGUACGGAACAACCACUGGAAACGGUGGCUAAUACCGUAUGUGCCCUACGGGGGAAAGAUUUAUCGCCUUGGGAAGGGCCCGCGUCCGAUUAGCUAGUUGGUGAGGUAACGGCCCACCAAGGCGACGAUCGGUAGCUGGUCUGAGAGGAUGGUCAGCCACACUGGGACUGAGACACGGCCCAGACUCCUACGGGAGGCAGCAGUGGGGAAUAUUGGACAAUGGGCGCAAGCCUGAUCCAGCCAUGCCGCGUGAGUGAAGAAGGCCCUAGGGUUGUAAAGCUCUUUCGGCGGGGAAGAUGAUGACGGUACCCGCAGAAGAAGCCCCGGCUAACUCCGUG